rnacentral:rRNA from 1 species
CACGUAGGGUGCGAGCGUUGUCCGGAAUUAUUGGGCGUAAAGAGCUCGUAGGCGGUGUGUCGCGUCGGCCGUGAAAACCUGCAGCUCAACUGUGGGCUUGCGGUCGAUACGGGCAUCACUGGAGUUCGGCAGGGGAGACUGGAAUUCAUGGUGUAGCAGUGAAAUGCGUAGAGAUCAUGAGGAAGACCAGUGGCGAAGGCGGGUCUCUGGACAGUUCCUGACACUGAGGCACGAAGGCCAGGGGAGCAAACGGG